UGAAAACAAUAAAGUAAAUUGAAAUUAUCUUUAACAGAUUAAGGUGAUCCUUGAGUCUGAUGCGAGACAAAAUAUUUGAUAUAUUUAAUAUCUGGUUUGAUUUUCGUAAGGCACAAACAAAGGUCGGCACUUUUCUAUUCCCCCCCCCCUAUUUUUUUGUGUGUGUGAGAUAUGCUGUAUGUUUGAGAGGUGCAGUGUGUGUGUGUGUGUGAAAAUGUGUGUGAAGGGGGGUAGUGUAUGUGAAGCACCUAUGUUGUGUGUGGAUGAGUGAGAUGUGAGAAAAUGUAUCUGAAUGUCCAUGGGGAAAGUAUUGGAUUGGCUAAAAUUGGCAAGGGGGCAGGGUCAAAUGCCGUUGCGACCAAUCAGCACCUCCUCUUAGAGGAAAAUUUAGCGUUCCCAUGCAAAACGUGGAGAUGCUGAAUGACAGUGCUGCCUACUAUGCAGCACUGAGCCAGGAAGCACCUCCAGUGGCUAUCUGAGGAGUGGCCACUUGGAGGUGUCCCUAGGAGCAAUGUAAACACUGCCUUUUCUCUGUAUAGGCAGUGUUUGCAUGACAAUGCCUGCAUAUAAUGUUUAUACUCACCAGAACUACAUUAAGCUGUAGUUGUUCUGGUGACUAUAGCGUCUUUUUAAGAAGAAUGUACAUUUGGUAUAUUUCCUGUGCAUAUCUGGUUACUUUAAACUGAAAGGAUAUUGAGAUACAAAUUGGAGAUAUGACAUGAUAACACAAACUGAAAAUAACAAAAUACAUCCA